CAGCAGCCGCGGGAAUACGAAGGGGGCUAGCGUUGCUCGGAUUUACUGGGCGUAAAGGGCGCGUAGGCGGAUAAUUAAGUUGGGGGUGAAAGCCCGGGGCUCAACCUCGGAAUUGCCUUCAAUACUGGUUAUCUUGAGUGUGAGAGAGGUGUGUGGAACUCCGAGUGUAGAGGUGAAAUUCGUAGAUAUUCGGAAGAACACCAGUGGCGAAGGCGACACACUGGCUCACUACUGACGCUGAGGCGCGAAAGCGUGGGGAGCAAACAGGAUUAGAUACCCCCGUAGUCCCUGUCUCUUAUAC
rnacentral:rRNA from 1 species